rnacentral:rRNA from 1 species
AGCGGAGGAAAAGAAACUAACAAGGAUUCCCCUAGUAACGGCGAGUGAAGAGGGAAGAGCCCAAGAUUGAAAGCUGGCGUCUUCGGCGUCCGCAUUGUAAUCUCAAGAAGUGUUUUCCGCUUCGGACCAUGCCUAAGUCCCUUGGAAAAGGGCAUCAUAGAGGGUGAUAAUCCCGUACAUGGCAUGGAGCGCCCGAAGCUUUGUGAUACGCUUUCUAAGAGUCGAGUUGUUUGGGAAUGCAGCUCAAAAUGGGUGGUAAAUGCCAUCUAAGGCUAAAUAUUGGGGAGAGACCGAUAGCGAACAAGUACAGUGAUGGAAAGAUGAAAAGAACUUUGAAAAGAGAGUUAAACAGUACGUGAAAUUGCCAAAAGGGAAGGGUAGGAGGUCAGAGAUGCAGCCUGGGAUUCAGCCUUGCUUUUUGCUUGGUGUUUUUCCCAGGUGGCAGGCCAACGUCGGUUUUGGGCACUGGAGAAGGGUGGGAGGAAUGUGGCACCUCUCGGGGUGUGUUAUAGCCUCCUACUGGAUACAGCGACCGAGACCGAGGACAGCAGCGUACUCGCAAGAGCGGGCCUUCGGGCACCUUUACGCUUA